CUUUUGGGUUUUAAUUUCUUGCUGGAUUUGCCCCCAGAGGCACAAAGCUGUGUUUGGAGAACGUCAGCUCUGUCUCCCCAGCCCCUUUGUCACGCUGGGGCUGAAAGCACAAACCGCAGCCCACCCAUGGGGACGUGCUGCCCUGCUACUACUUAACUGCUUCAAAGUACCUGUCUGUGAUAUGAAACAUGCCAUAAAACCAAUAUGUUCCAGAUGUCCCAGCAAAUUCCCCUCAAUCCACCUGAAGGCAGUCCACACGGCGAGGCUCCUCGGUCCCUGCUGCCUCUCUCGCUGCCAGCAGGAGCACAGGGCUCAUUUGGGGUCACAGUUUGGGACAUGGCUCAUUUGGGGUCACAGUUUGGGACGUGGCUCAUUUGGGGGUCACAGUUUGGGAUGUGGCUCAUUUGGGGUUGUUUGGGAUGUGGCUCAUUUGGGGUCACAGUUUGGGACGUGGCUCAUUUGGGGUUGUUUGGGAUAUGGCUCAUUUGGGGUUGCAGUUUGGGAUGUGGCUCAUUUGGGGUUGCAUUUUGGGACAUGGCUCAUUUUGGGGUUGUAUGGGAUGUGGCUUACUUGGGAUUUCAGUUUGGGACGUGGCCCAUUUGGGGUUACAGUUUGGGACAUGGCUUGUUUGGGGUCACAGUUUGGGCUGUGGCUCAUUUGGGGUCGCAGUUUUGGAUGUGGCUCAUUUGGGGUCACAGUUUGGGACGUGGCUCAUUUGGGGUCCCCCCCCCCCCCCCCCCCCCCUGGGGUCACAGUUGGGGAUGUGGCUUAUUUGGGGUUGUACUUUGGGACAUGGCUUAUUUGGGGUCACAGUUUGGGAUGUGGCUCAUUUGGGGUCACAGUUUGGGACGUGCCUCAUUUGGGGUCACAGUUUGGGAGGUGGCUCACUGGGGUCACAGUUUGGGCUGUGGCUCAUUUGGGGUUGCAGUUUGGGAUGUGGCUCACUGGGGUCACAGUUGGGGAUGUGGCUUAUUUGGGGUUGUAUUUUGGGACAUGGCUUAUUUGGUGUCACAGUUUGGGAUGUGGCUCAUUUGGGGUUGCAGUUUGGGACAUGGCUUCUUUGGGGUUGCAGUUUGGGACGUGGCCAUUACCAGAGCAGGGUGCUGACCCCAGGUUCUGCCCUGUGCAGUGUGGGGUGAAAACUUCAGUCACUGGUAUCCCAGGGGGUGAUUACCCUCCGUGGGAUUGGGGAGAUGGGGUUUGCAUCCUUAAGUUUGGGGGGGUCUUUGUCCUGGAGGGGAUUUGUCUCUCCAUUCUUGGGUGGGGGGAUCUCCAUUCUCGGAGUCUGCAGGAUCUCUGUCCUCAGGGUUGUGAGGGUGGUUGGGUUUUGAGGCUCACAAAAACCUGACAACCACUGUCAGGGUUGGUGGAUCCCCAUACUCAGGGUUAGGAGCUUUAUCCUGGAAGUUUGUGAGUCUCCAUCCUUGGGUUUUGUGG
rnacentral:lncRNA from 12 species